rnacentral:rRNA from 1 species
CAGAGGGUGCGAACGUUGCUCGGAAUUACUGGGCGUAAAGUGCGUGUAGGCGGGUCGGCAAGUCAGGCGUGAAAUCCCCAGGCUCAACCUGGGAACUGCGCUUGAAACUGCCGGUCUUGAGUAUCGGAGAGGGUGGCGGAAUUCCUGGUGUAGAGGUGAAAUUCGUAGAUAUCAGGAGGAACACCGGUGGCGAAGGCGGCCACCUGGACGAUUACUGACGCUGAGACGCGAAAGCGUGGGGAGCAAACAGGAUUAGAUACCCUGGUAGUCCACGCCGUAAACGAUGGGUGCUAGGUGUCUCGGGUAUUGACCCCUGAGGUGCCGUAGCUAACGCGUUAAGCACCCCGCCUGGGAAGUACGGCCGCAAGGCUA